CCACUGUCAACCCCUUUGUUGUGGGGCCCCUAUUCUCCCCUGCUUGCGUCACCCCUGAACCAAGCAGGGGUGCCAGUGUCAAGAAGAAUAGUGUAUAUUAGUAAAGCUUAAUUUCUUUUAAAUUUGUUUUUAGAAAAAUAAAUACAAAUGGAAGUUUAAUUUUUUUCUUCCUACACCGCCAUGCAUCUUGUGUAUUCCCUGGGGUGUAUACGUGCCUCUGCCCUAAGCAAAUGGAAUUUUAAACCAACUGUCAUUUUAGAUGGAUCACCCAGUUGGCAUGUGGACGUCUGCUAUUCUCUUGAGCUUUUAAGAGGCUGUUGAUAUACUUCCAGUCAGAGAGGACAAGAGCCUCCAGGGUGGCCUUGGGAAAGGAAAGAGUCAAGGAAUUGGAGAGGUAUUUAAGAGAAGCAGUUUAUAGGACUUCAUUUCCAUAACAGCAGAACAUCUGGGAGGUAAAGAACUAUGUAUUCUCCACCAGCAACUGCCAUUUCUCUUGGCGCCAGAAUCUCGAUUUGCUCUAAACUCCUCAGCCUGUCAUCGUCCUACAGAACGUUGACACCUUUAUAUGGGUCCCAGGGCAAUUACAACCUUAUAUCUGCUUCUCACUCACAGAUGGACUAAUUGGUGGUGCCCUCCCUGCUGACAGCCCUCAGAUGUUGAAGGGAAAUCAGGCAGCCUUUGAUGGGCUGACUUUUAAUUGAGAGCUUCUGAUGGAUUCUUGAGUGGGUUUAGAGGAACCACGGUCCUAGAAGUGGGAGUUGUUAAAGACAGAUUACUGCACCAAGAGUAAAGUUUGAUUGAGAGGCUGGGAGAGGACUCAGCCAUCCAAAGCUUCCCUUGAAGGCCAGUGAUACCCCAAGGGGCAAGCUAACGACGCAUGUCUGGGAAUUCUUCCAAUGGCUCUCCUCCUUUCCUUAGCCCCUGCCUCUGAGGCAGUGGCUGUGUCCAAUGGAGGACUCAUGACUUCCAUCUGUAAGCUCUCCCUCCCAGUUAGUCCACUGUCUCCCUGGGGAGAGCCAAUGCACAUCAGAGUAUCAGUAUUAAAAACAACUUCUCAGCUAGAUUCCUCUCAGACAUCUAGUACAUCAAAAUCCCUCUCACCCUAAUUCCUUUUCCUCCUCUCUCCCUCCGCCACUGGGACUAGGUUCUUCUCUUAGCUCUUGGGGUGCCUUCUGCAUCCCCCCGGCCCCCUCUGUACCCUCCAUGUUCCGGUUCCAGGUUCUUCCUGGACUGAGCAGUAGGGGAAAAGGAGCAUCUGGUUUAGCAAAAGAUUUGAAGGUGACCUUCAUCGAGCCCUAAGAGAGAUAACAAUCUCUCUGCAAUCAACGAGCCUGGCUCCUCUGGAUACCAAAAUAGCAACUGUGGAGUAAGUCUGCCCCCUCCACCUCCUUCCCCUCCCUUUUUCUUCAGGACAACACAAAGAAACUCUAGGGGUGAACUGGGAAAUCACAGUAUCUUCUAACAGCCUGAAAGCCUGAAAAGCAAGUUCCUGUGUAUGUGUAUCUGCGGCUCAUCGGUACAGAAAAGCUAAUUAUCUCAGCGCUGUCGCCACCACCUUGCAUUCAGCAAAUUCUGUCCUUUCGAUUGUGAUCUUAUCGGUCCUAUCAAUAAUCCUGAGUUCAUAGAGGGUCCAGAAAUGGUGCACCCAUUCUAGGUAGGAGGGAACCAGGGUCCCAGGCCUGCCCAGGGUCACCCAGGGACGGAGUUCCCAGAGCAAAAGAUGACAGUCUGCUUCCUAAGAGUUCCUGUGGUAGAUUUCCACUGGGAAUGGCAUGUGUUCUCAGGACUUGAUUGCCAGACCUCAGGAACAUUUGCUAUUGGGAUGAUUAUUUUAUAGCAAUCUUAACAACCUCGUGCUGGCUCCCACCCUAUUCCUCUACUCCCUGGGCUGAGCCCUGAGCUGUUUUGAGCGACUGUUGCAGCACCCAGUGGGCGGUUAUCAAGGUAGGAACAUAUGGAGUGGGGAAGGAAAGAUCCUCCACUCUACGGCGUUUGGGGAGGGGAGUGAAGACGGCAUUUGUCAGGGUUGGAGUUAGCAGGGAUAUGGAACAUGUAUUUACAUAUGGCGGCAAAUUGCUGAUGGGAAAGAAGAAGCUGGCAAAUGGGAUGACUCAUCUAGAGAUGAAAAACACAAUAUCUGAAAUGAAAGAUAUACUGGAUGGAAUUACAGUGAGUAAGAUGUUAUAGAAGUAAAGAUUAGUCAACUUGAAGAAUAAAAAUGAUCCAAAAUUACAUAAUGAAACUGGGAAAAGAAGAGCAACUCACCAAGAAAACAUAAAAACCCUCAAUGCAUCUACUCCUAAAAAUACAGCUUCAAAAUAUAUGAAGCAAAGAUGAGAGAACUGAAAGAAGAAAUAGAAAACCCCACAAUUACAGUUGGAGACUUCAAUAACCGUUUCUCAAAUUUUAGAGAACAACUGGAGAAAAAGUCUGUAAGGAUCUAAAAGUCCCAGCUGCAUCUGGGAGGCAUGAGGCAGCUCUGCCAGCUGCACCUGAGCUCUGGAAUGUCAGUCAUGGCCAUCUUUCCUGCUGAAAUGUUCACAGAUAGCUGGGGUAGGAUGCCUCUAACAUCGUCCCUCAUUGCUGUUUCUGGACAUCUGAAAAGCUAGUGGCAGAGGGCUUUGUAAGGCCAAAUUUCAAAUGCAGGGACCCAUAAUUAGAGGCUGCAGUCCCAAGACAGUCUCUUAUAAAGCCCAACCCCCUUACCUUGUGUCAUGGAUUGAGCUGUGUGCCCCUAAAUCUCUUGUGUUGAAGUCCUAACCCCCAGCAUGUGACCUUACGUGGACAUAGGGUAGUUGCAGAUGUAAGUAGUUAAGGUGAGAUCAUACUGGAGUAGAGUGAGCCUCUGACCCAAUAUGACUGGUGUCCUUAUCCAAAGGGGAAAUGUGGACACAGACACACACAGGGAGAAGGCUCUAUGAUGAUUGGAGUGACGCUGCUACAAGCCAACGAACGACCAGAAGCUGGGAGAGAGACCUGGGAAAGACCCUUCCCUGGCGCCUUCAGAGCAGGCAUGCUCCCGCUGACACCUUGAUUUCAGACUUCCGGCCUCCAGAACUGUGAAACAAUGUAGUUUUGUUGUUCUAAGCCACCCAGUUUGUUAUGGCAGCCCUUGUGAACCAACACAGCUCAGCUCUGGCCCCAGCCUCCCUUUCCAGUACUAUCGUCCACCCCUCCCCUGCAGGAACUCGUGCUCCACAACACUGGUGCCCAGGCAGUUAUUUGUGGAAUAACCUGCUGCAUGGUUGUCUACUGGCCAGGUUCUCAGAUUGCACCCAAGAGACACACGGAGCAUCUGGGAAUGUGGGGAGGCCGGGAAAACCACCCAUUCAGCAGCCCAUCACCUGUGUCCUAUUUGUCCCGUCCUAGCAUGUGUAGAGGCUCCACAGAGGCCCUGAGGGUGGCCUCCUCAGGGAGCACCCUGAUCUUAAGUGAUUUUUCUUCAUGGUAGUUUCCAGAAGAAGAGUAUGAUGGGUCAGUGACUCUCACUCAGAGUGACACUCAUCUCCUGGGCUCGGUGAAUGAGUUAACAUUCACAAAACCCUCAGAACUGGCCGGCACAUAGAGACGGCUAUAGAAGUGUUGACCCAUCUAAGAGAUGGCUUCUCUUGAGUUCUAGCUUUUACAUGAUUGCUUUCUGUUCACACAUGGAGCCUUGGUCCAGUUCUCAAGUUUGAUGUCCCCUCCUUAACAAGCACCCUCAACGGAUGGAGGCUAGCCAAAGAGAAAGUAUGGAAACCCACUUGGACCCCUUUUCCUAGUCAGAAGCUGUGUAUGUGGCUGGUUAUAAAGGCUGGAUGGAUUCCUCACUACACCCACUAAAAAUAAGUAAGUAAAUGAAAGAAACUCUGGAUGGAUGGAUGGAUGAACAGAUGGAUGGAUGGAAGGAUGGAUGAAUGGAUGGAUAUAAGAGUUUCUUUUGAUCCAGGUAAGAAGGUAAAGUGAGGAGGAAUUGCAUGAAAGGUGUGUACAUGUCUGGAGAGAGGAAAUUUUGGAGGAUGUAAGUCUAUGCUUGUGUGUCCUUUGGCCCUCCUCAAUUCAGGACUAUGUGAUAGAUCAAGAUUUUAUAGGUUUAAUGUUCCCUCCCACCACCGUGUGCUUUACAUCUGUAUAAAGGGAGCUACAAAUCUUUCCAGGCAGAACGUGGCUGGGCCCUGCCUUUCUCCCCUUCUCAGUGAGAUCUGACUUGGAAACACAGCUGAACAGUCCAUGAUGAAUCAUAGCAUCUGUGGAACAGCCCAGAUAAGGAACAAUUUGCAUUUUCAUGUGAUAAUUCGCUACUCUCUGCAUUUUCAAAUUACCUUUAGAGCCACCUUAAUUCUGUUUCCAUAAACCACUGCUGUGUGCCCAAGUCACCAGGAGAUGGGGACUCCAGGGGCAGGUUUGUUUGGCUUUACAGGAGUGGGAAGGUCUCCUUCUCUGUAACAGGGGUGUAAGAAACCGAGCUGGCCAUGGAGAGCAUCUCUCGUAGUAGCUCCCCUGGGGAAAAAUUGUAGCUUCAAACCUAUCUUGCAUUUCCAUUCUCUCUGUCUGUGUGUUGCUUGGUUGAAAAUAAAGUAAACAUAAAUGGCUCCCCCUACUCCGCUGCCUCACAAUGCGGAGGAGACCCCGCCUCAGGUGCUCCUGCUCCCUCUCUGCUUCAGGAAGUAUGGCAUUGAGCGAAGUUGAUGGCAGCAGAACCUAUGGCUCCUGCAAACAGGGUCUUCUGAGGAAAGGGUGGUCUUGGAAGAGCUCCCCUGAGGCUGGAGGAGCUCCCCAGCCCUCUGGAGGAAACCACUGUGUGAUGCGUGUCUGCCUGCUUCUCGGUGUCACAGCUACUCUGAGAGGUGCCCUGUGGCUGAGGGGACUGGUCUGUCAUCCAGACAUCGGGAUCCCUGGCGGAAGGGGGAGAAUCGACCCUGAUCUCUCAAAGAUGUGCUCCUUCUACAUGAUACCUCCAGACAAGACACUUCAGAGUCUGCCACCAACCCCUCCUCAGUUUCUCCUAACUUUCACAACCCAGGAAGUUCUAUAUACUCAUCAGAAACCCUUCUUGCUGCAGUGCGAAUCCAUUUCCUUGCCCCAAAGCAGAGACCAGUCAUUCUUGCACUCUUGAGUCCACACAUGCCUGCAUUUCUUAAACAAAUUCUCAGAAUGCUAUCAAAUAAGUUAAUGAGGAGCCUUGUAAAAAUGAGAAUAAUUUCUGUUUCUCUGUCCUAAUUUACAUUUGUCCAUUUCCUGAGGUUCCAUUCUAUUAAAUUUUAAUUUGCUCCCUUCUCAUCCCCAGGCUUUUAGAAGUCUUACGUUGGAGUUUUUUCACACAGUUGGAGUCUCUUGGGUUCUGAUGGAUUAACUUAGGGGCAGGCAAGAUAUAUUUGGUCCCUAGAAGUGAUUUCUAGAUUGCCCAACCAACUGCUCAGGGGAGACUUGUCUAAGGGAGAGGGCACGAGUUGGCAUGAUGGUAGAGCGGUG
rnacentral:lncRNA from 1 species